rnacentral:rRNA from 1 species
UUGUUGAUCAAUUUGUUCUGAAGAAAGAAUUUUAUUUUUAUUAAUAAUUUUAUAUUAUUUAUUUAAAAUAUUAUUGUUUAAUUAAUUUUGAUGAAAGAAUUUCUUUAAUUAUAGAUAAUUACGUAUCGUAAGAGAAUAAUUUUUACUGUUAAAAAGAAGAAUUUAUUUUUCGUACCUUGUGUAUCAGGGUUAAUUAAAUUGUUUAUAUAAAUAUAUGUGUCUCGAAUCUAAAAGAGUUAAAAUUAUAUUUUGUUAAAUGUUUCAUAAUUUUUUAUAAUAUAAUUUUGGUAAUGAAACGUUAUUCGUUUUUUGAUAUAUCUAGUUUUUUAAGAAAUAAAUUCAAUUUAUUUAUUUUUAAAAUUAUUUUUAUUUAUUAAUUUAAUUUUGGAAGUAUUUAAUUUUUUUGGGGAAAAGCUUGGAAGAAUAAAUUUAUUUGAAUUUAAUACUAAGUUUGUAUGUAGGAUUAUAAAUUUCCGUCUAUUUUAGAAUGUUAUAGUUUUCUUACUGUGUUUUAUUAUUUUUAUUUUCAAUAAAUUUUAUAUUAAAAUUUUAAAUUUAAUUUUAGAAUUUAAGAAAUAAUGAUUGAAUUAGUAUAUUUAUUUGUAUAUAUAUAUAUUGAAAUAUUAGAUAUGAAUAAUGAACUUGGCAAACUUGUUUUUCACCUGUUUAUUAAAAACAUGUCUUUUUGAAUAUAAUUUAAGGUUGGGCCUGCUCAAUGACUAAGUUAAAUAGCUGCAGUAUUUUGACUGUACUAAGGUAGCAUAAUCAUUAGUUUCUUAAUUAGGAACUGGAAUGAAAGGUUUGAUGAGAAAAUAGCUGUCUCUUAUAUAAAUAUAUAAAUUUAUUUUUAAGUAAAAAGGCUUAAAUUUAAUUAAAAGACGAGAAGACCCUAUAGAGUUUAAUAAAUUUAUUAAUUUUUUAAUUAAAGUUAUUAAUUUUAAUUAAUUAUAAAAUUUAUUUGGUUGGGGUGAUUUUAAAAUUAAGGAAACUUUUAAAUUUAAUGAAACUUUAAUUUAAGACUAAUUUGAUCCAUAUUUAAUGAUUAUAAGAAUAAAUUACCUUAGGGAUAACAGCGUAAUUUUUUUUUAGAGUACAAAUCCAUAAAAAAGAUUGCGACCUCGAUGUUGGAUUAAAAUUUACUUUUAGGUGCAAAAGCUAGAUGGUUGAGUCUGUUCGACUCUUAAAAUUUUACAUGAUCUGAGUUUAAACCGGCGUGAGCCAGGUUGGUUUCUAUCUUUAAUGAAAGAAGAAAUUUCAGUACGAAAGGACCAAAUUU